rnacentral:rRNA from 1 species
UACCAGCACCCCGAGUGGUCGGGACGAUUAUUGGGCCUAAAGCAUCCGUAGCCGGUCCUACAAGUCUUCCGUUAAAUCCACCUGCUUAACAGAUGGGCUGCGGAAGAUACUAUAGGGCUAGGAGGCGGGAGAGGCAAGCGGUACUCAGUGGGUGGGGGUAAAAUCCUCUGAUCCAUUGAAGACCACCAGUGGCGAAGGCGGCUUGCCAGAACGCGCUCGACGGUGAGGGAUGAAAGCUGGGGGAGCAAACCGG